UUAAGCGACUAAGCGUACACGGUGGAUGCCCUGGCAGUCAGAGGCGAUGAAGGACGUGCUAAUCUGCGAAAAGCGCCGGCGAGGUGAUAUGAACCCUUGACCCGGCGAUGUCCGAAUGGGGAAACCCAGUGCAAUCCGUUGCACUAUCGUUAACUGAAUACAUAGGUUAACGAGGCGAACCGGGGGAACUGAAACAUCUAAGUACCCCGAGGAAAAGAAAUCAACCGAGAUUCCCCCAGUAGCGGCGAGCGAACGGGGAGCAGCCCGGAGUCUGAAUCAGCUUGUGUGUUAGUGGAACGGUCUGGAAAGUCCGACGGUACAGGGUGAUAGUCCCGUACACGAAAGCACACUUGCUGUGAACUCGAAGAGUAGGGCGGGACACGUGGUAUCCUGUCUGAAUAUGGGGGGACCAUCCUCCAAGGCUAAAUACUCCUGACUGACCGAUAGUGAACCAGUACCGUGAGGGAAAGGCGAAAAGAACCCCGGCGAGGGGAGUGAAAAAGAACCUGAAACCGUGUACGUACAAGCAGUGGGAGCCUCUUUAUGGGGUGACUGCGUACCUUUUGUAUAAUGGGUCAGCGACUUAUAUUCUGUAGCAAGGUUAACCGUAUAGGGGAGCCGAAGGGAAACCGAGUCUUAACUGGGCGUUAAGUUGCAGGGUAUAGACCCGAAACCCGGUGAUCUAGCCAUGGGCAGGUUGAAGGUUGGGUAACACUAACUGGAGGACCGAACCGACUAAUGUUGAAAAAUUAGCGGAUGACCUGUGGCUGGGGGUGAAAGGCCAAUCAAACCGGGAGAUAGCUGGUUCUCCCCGAAAGCUAUUUAGGUAGCGCCUCGUGAACUCAUCUUCGGGGGUAGAGCACUGUUUCGGCUAGGGGGCCAUCCCGGCUUACCAACCCGAUGCAAACUACGAAUACCGAAGAAUGUUAUCACGGGAGACACACGGCGGGUGCUAACGUCCGUCGUGAAGAGGGAAACAACCCAGACCGCCAGCUAAGGUCCCAAAGUCAUGGUUAAGUGGGAAACGAUGUGGGAAGGCACAGACAGCCAGGAUGUUGGCUUAGAAGCAGCCAUCAUUUAAAGAAAGCGUAAUAGCUCACUGGUCGAGUCGGCCUGCGCGGAAGAUGUAACGGGGCUAAACCAUGCACCGAAGCUGCGGCAGCGACGCUUAUGUGUUGUUGGGUAGGGGAGCGUUCUGUAAGCCGUUGAAGGUGGCCUGUGAGGGUUGCUGGAGGUAUCAGAAGUGCGAAUGCUGACAUAAGUAACGAUAAAGCGGGUGAAAAGCCCGCUCGCCGGAAGACCAAGGGUUCCUGUCCAACGUUAAUCGGGGCAGGGUGAGUCGACCCCUAAGGCGAGGCCGAAAGGCGUAGUCGAUGGGAAACAGGUUAAUAUUCCUGUACUUGGUGUUACUGCGAAGGGGGGACGGAGAAGGCUAUGUCAGCCGGGCGACGGUUGUCCCGGUUUAAGCAUGUAGGCGGAGGUUCCAGGUAAAUCCGGUACCUUUUAACGCUGAGGUGUGAUGACGAGGCACUACGGUGCUGAAGUGAUAAAUGCCCUGCUUCCAGGAAAAGCCUCUAAGCAUCAGGUAACACGAAAUCGUACCCCAAACCGACACAGGUGGUCAGGUAGAGAAUACCAAGGCGCUUGAGAGAACUCGGGUGAAGGAACUAGGCAAAAUGGUGCCGUAACUUCGGGAGAAGGCACGCUGAUGUGUAGGUGAAGCCCCUGCGGGCGGAGCUGAAAUCAGUCGAAGAUACCAGCUGGCUGCAACUGUUUAUUAAAAACACAGCACUGUGCAAACACGAAAGUGGACGUAUACGGUGUGACGCCUGCCCGGUGCCGGAAGGUUAAUUGAUGGGGUUAGCUGUAAGGCGAAGCUCUUGAUCGAAGCCCCGGUAAACGGCGGCCGUAACUAUAACGGUCCUAAGGUAGCGAAAUUCCUUGUCGGGUAAGUUCCGACCUGCACGAAUGGCGUAAUGAUGGCCAGGCUGUCUCCACCCGAGACUCAGUGAAAUUGAACUCGCUGUGAAGAUGCAGUGUACCCGCGGCAAGACGGAAAGACCCCGUGAACCUUUACUAUAGCUUGACACUGAACACUGGUCCUUGAUGUGUAGGAUAGGUGGGAGGCUUUGAAGCGUGGACGCCAGUCUGCGUGGAGCCAACCUUGAAAUACCACCCUUUAAUGGCUGGUGUUCUAACGUAGACCCGUAAUCCGGGUUGCGGACAGUGUCUGGUGGGUAGUUUGACUGGGGCGGUCUCCUCCCAAAGAGUAACGGAGGAGCACGAAGGUUGGCUAAUCCUGGUCGGACAUCAGGAGGUUAGUGCAAUGGCAUAAGCCAGCUUGACUGCGAGCGUGACGGCGCGAGCAGGUGCGAAAGCAGGUCAUAGUGAUCCGGUGGUUCUGAAUGGAAGGGCCAUCGCUCAACGGAUAAAAGGUACUCCGGGGAUAACAGGCUGAUACCGCCCAAGAGUUCAUAUCGACGGCGGUGUUUGGCACCUCGAUGUCGGCUCAUCACAUCCUGGGGCUGAAGUAGGUCCCAAGGGUAUGGCUGUUCGCCAUUUAAAGUGGUACGCGAGCUGGGUUUAGAACGUCGUGAGACAGUUCGGUCCCUAUCUGCCGUGGGCGCUGGAGAAUUGAGGGGGGCUGCUCCUAGUACGAGAGGACCGGAGUGGACGCAUCACUGGUGUUCGGGUUGUCAUGCCAAUGGCACUGCCCGGUAGCUAAAUGCGGAAGAGAUAAGUGCUGAAAGCAUCUAAGCACGAAACUUGCCCCGAGAUGAGUUCUCCCUGAGACUUUAAGUCUCCUGAAGGAACGUUAAAGACGAUGACGUUGAUAGGUCGGGUGUGUAAGCGCAGCGAUGCGUUGAGCUAACCGAUACUAAUGAACCGUGAGGCUUAACCUU
rnacentral:rRNA from 1 species